rnacentral:rRNA from 1 species
GCUAAACGCGAAGAACCUUACCUGGCCUUGACAUCCAUGGAAUCCCGAAGAGAUUUGGGAGUGCCGCAAGGAACCAUGAGACAGGUGCUGCAUGGCUGUCGUCAGCUCGUGUCGUGAGAUGUUGGGUUAAGUCCCGCAACGAGCGCAACCCUUGUCCUUAGUUGCCAUCAUUAAGUUGGGAACUCUAAGGAGACCGCCGGUGACAAACCGGAGGAAGGUGGGAUGACGUCAAGUCAUCAUGGCCUUUAUGGUCCAGGGCUACACACGUGCUACAAUGGCAGGUACAGAGGGAAGCCAACCAGCAAUGGGGAGCCGAAUCCCAGAAAGCCUGUCUUAGUCCGGAUUGCAGUCUGCAACUCGACUGCAUGAAGUUGGAAUCGCUAGUAAUCGCAGAUCAGCAUUGCUGC